UACGUAGGUGGCAAGCGUUGUCCGGAAUUAUUGGGCGUAAAGAGCUCGUAGGCGGUCUGUUACGUCUGCUGUGAAAACCCGGGGCUUAACCCUGGGCUUGCAGUGGAUACGGGCAGACUAGAGGCAGGUAGGGGAGAAUGGAAUUCCCGGUGUAGCGGUGAAAUGCGCAGAUAUCGUAAGGAAGACCAGUGGCGAAGGCGGGUCUCUGGACAGUUCCUGACGCUGAGGCACGAAGGUCAGGGGAGCAAACGGG
rnacentral:rRNA from 1 species